UUGCUGCUAUUUUCUGUGCGUUUCUGCAGGUACGGAUGUGCGCGGAUGUGCGUACGGCGUGUUCCCUAGUGGUGGCAUGGCUCGGCUCGGCGCUACACACGGGCGGGCGCAACACGCGAGAGGGGGGAAGCCUGGCUCUGUUGUGGCGCUGGAAGCUUACCCUAGCUGCUAGGGUUUUCCGGUGUUGGGCCAUUUGGGCGAGCUGGUUUUGGG
rnacentral:lncRNA from 1 species